UUUUUUUUUUUUUUUGGUCAACACAAGGGUAUCCUGCCUUACGUUUGACUAGUCACCGUGCGGUAGUGCAGAGCCCACCCUAAGGAUGCACCACACGGUAACAAGCAGGAGUCAAAACUGUGACCUCUGCAUAAGAACCCAAUGAGGUCACCAUCGAGUUACCCGCUAGGGGCUAUACACAAAUAGUCAAAGGACUAUGAAUGUUUUAUGAUUUGAUUAUCAUAUUGAAAUCCUUAAAUUUAUCUUGUCGGAUCUUAUAUUAACAUUUGGGUUUGAAUCAAUUCAUUAAAAAAUCCGAAAAAAAGUAAGCAGUCCAGUUGGAAGCAUACACAGAUGGUCAUGGGACCAUAAACGUUUAAGUAUUUUUCGACUUUCACAGUGUAAUAUUCUCUUGAUUUUUCAGAUCUGUUUAUAUGCGUGCAUGGUCAAUGUAACUUCUGCCAUUAGUGUAUAUAUGUAAUGAAUGAUGAUAUUUUUGUAAAAAAAAAAAACCCAUUAUACAGUCAAGAGAUUAUUUACAUUGUUCAGCACUAUAUUUGCAUAGACCAUGUGAUCAAAGAUUAUUCACAUCACUUAAGACAAUGCAUUCUGACUGUGUUUAAGACUGAUUUGAUUCAACUUUAACCAUAGAUUCAUAUAAAAGGGUAUAUCUAUAACUCUCUAAAGAUUAAAAUACAAUACUUGAUGGAUGGCAAGUGGGACUGAUCUAUCUUCCUCACCAACUAUUGGCUUCCUUGAGUAAUCCCCUUCAAUGGAGGCGUUCACAUACCAACAACCCUCUUUUCUUUAUCUCAUUUGAGCAUGCAUCAUGGGUCUGUAUACCACCAACCUCUAGACUAUAUAGCCAAGCAGCUUCUUUGACCACGAACCAGAUAUUUUUAUACAAUGAUGAGAAAUUGUAUAUAAAAAUAAAGAGAACGUUUGAAUCAUGGUUGCAUUUUUUAGAUAUUACCCUUUUUUCUUUUAGAUAUUACCUAACACAUGCUUAAAUUAAAAUUUGCAUCUUCAAGAAUGUAUGGUCCCCUGGAAGGGACUAAGGAAAAAAAAAUGUUUAGUUAUUUUAUACGGCUGAUCUUGUUCAUAGUGUCACUUUGCAAAGUACACGACUUUUGACUGUUGAACAAAAGAGCUGUAUUAAGUAUUAAUAGGUUUAGUUGGCUUGUCGGUGGCCAAGAAGGAAGUGUAGGUGAGGUCAAAAUCAUCUUAUAUAAUAUAUGCUUUAUAUUUUGUUUUGAGAAAUGAUAUGUUGGAUGAUAUAUAUUGAAUCUUGAACACAAAAUUUAAGAGAAUAGUGGUAGGCCAUAUCUAUCUAAGGCCCUAUUUAAUAAUUUAAUUUAGUACUUAGACUUAAUAUAUUCAAAUUUUAACAUAUUCAAACCAUUUGAUAAUAAAAAAUUGAACAUCUGAAUUAUUUAAGUGACACUGAAUUUUCUAAGCAAAACUUGAUCUGAAAAUUAAGUGAUAACCUAUUCAUUUAUCAUUGAAUAUGAUAUGUACUCAAGUGUAUUAAAUUUAAUAUUUAACAAUUUAAUAAUUUAAUGAAUUCAGAUUUCAGAUUUCAGAUUUCAGAUUUCAGUUUUAUCAAACGAGUAAUUUUUUUCAUUGCUCUUUUCUUUUCCCUAUUUUUCAUUUCUUUAAUAACUCUCUACAUAUCUUUUAAAUGCAACUGCAAUGUUAUAUCAAAUUGAGUAUUUUCAUCAAUCAUUGCUAUCUCUUUCUUUUUUUUUUCUUCCCUUUUUUUUUUCUUUUCUGUUGUCUGGAGCUGGACUUCUUUUUUUUUUUUGGGAGCAAAGAGUUGGAAAUCAGCUUGGUAAUACUAAUAUCGUAAUGGAUACAUCUAUUCUAUUAAUAACUGAAAUUUCGUUAUUUUUUCCUUUCUCAGUAUCCCUUGAUCAAUUAGGAAUUUCAUCAUUUUCAUUAGGAAGUAGCAAAAUUUGUCAAAGCUACAAACAUGUAGGAACAGUGGAACAAUAGUGGUUGUGCUCAUCCAUGCUAGAAAGUGUAAAUCACGGAUUAUAACUCCAAAGUGAUAAAACAAAGUUUUUUUCCCUCAAAAUUUUUUUGAAGGUAUUGCUAAAACAACCUUAUGAAUUGAUACACACAUAUAUAUAUAUAUAUGCAACUAGUACUUUUUUUUUUCCGAAGACGACAACUAUUGUAUAACUUAUCUAUCCUAUACUACAGGGAAGAGGGAGCCAAAAGAGGCUUUGUAUUAGGGGAUAGUAGGUACACAAACCUUCCUAUACCAAGAGAGUGCUUUGACAUAACUCUUAAGACGCGCCAACAGCCCAAGCAGGGUCUUAAGACUCACCUUGGUGGCCACUGAGCCAAGUGGUUAUGCAACUAGUACUUAAUACCCAACUUAAAUGAUAGGGAUAUUAUGAAGCAACUGUAAAGUUCCAAUAUAGCUCUUAAAUUCUUCACUUUUCCACUUUUCCUUUAUAAGACUUGGAGUCUUUUUCUUAAUUAUUAAAAAAAAUGCAUACAAAUAUGGAGCUUUCCCUUAAUCAUUAAAAGAAAAAAAAUCCAUACAACUGCAGAUAUCUCUAGUGGCAAACUGCAGAAUUCAGAAAAUCUGUAAUUACCAAAGCAAGAUGCUCCUUGAUCUAUGGCACUAACCAGACAGUCCACUCUUUUUGAAUUUUUUGUAAGUGUAUCUCAUUUAUACUCUCUUUUUUUCGUGUCGCCCAAUUCAACGCUCUCUCAACUAAACAGUCUGCUUAUUGGUACUUUAUAACAAGUUAGCUGGCCACCCAACCACUAAUAAUAAUUAAUUUAGCCCUUUUCACACCCAGAAGAGAAGACUAUUCUUGUUUGUCAGCAACAUCAAUAGACAAUAUUCUCUUGGAGAUUCGAAUUUUUAGCAAAGCAUUCUUGUUUAGCCCAACCACUAAUAAUAAUUAAUUUAGCCCUUUUCACACCCAGAAGAGAAGACUAUUCUUGCUUGUCAGCAACAUCAAUAGACAAUAAUAUUCUCUUGAAGAUUCGAAUUUUCGACAAAGCAUGUGUGCGGUUUCUUUGUUUAGAUUCAAAAGAAUACAGAGAGAGAAGCAUGUAUUAAAUAAGUAACAAAGGAUGCUACAAGAUCAAAUAAGAGCCUAAGAACACAACAAAAUCAAACAAGAACCUAAAUAGUAUCUUUUUCUUGACUUGUAAAUACUUAAAUCUUAUCUCAAUAUCUCAUAUUAAAUAAAAAAAAAAGGUAAAGCACGUUCCCUAGAAACUAAAUAUCUUUUUGUUUACUUGUAAAUAUUUAAAUGUUAUGUCAAUAUCUCAUAUUAAGAUUAUAUGUAGAAUUUAAAUAGAACCAAUUUUCUUGUCUAUUUUAAUUAUAUUCUCCUUUUUUCUUGUAUUCUACUAUUAUAUUUUUCCCCUUAUAUUCUUCUUCCUCUUCUCUUCCCUUAGCUAUAUGGUGGCCCUGUACAUACCCAUAAGUACACAUGUACAAUUCAUGAUCAAACAUUGUAAAUAGUUGGGGUGGUGGAAUGUGGAUUAAUGGCGGGGCAAGAUGGUGGCUUUACUUAGUUUUAACAAAAUGGAAAACUCACAGAACAGCCCGAUAAUCAGGCAGGCAAGACAAGGUGCUUCAACUGAACUAUGAUUAUUAGAGCAAUUAGCAAAAUUUGAGGAGAGAUCAGACAAAAGCUUGUGCAGGACAUUGAUCAGGUAAUUAUAUUACAUGAUCGUCUAUUAUUGAUGUGAGCAACAAUGAGAGGCUCUAUGUUUCCAUUUAAAACAGAGGUUAGAUCAGGCAGUUGAAUACCAGUUUUUACAUCUUGUACAAGCUUGGCUGGGUAAAACACGUAUCUUCUAGUAAUCUCUUGACACCACAAAUCAACAAUGGCACUUCUGUCAAUGUCUUCUACCUUUGAUAUUCUCUGGUUCUCCAAAACAGUAAGAAGUUUGGCCUUUAAGCGGUUAAGGGCCUUCAUCUUGUUGGCAAACUGGCUUCUUUCACCUAGGAAAAACAGAAUCCGUCAAUGUCUGUGAAUUGACUCCAUCAUCUACUACUUCAGCUAUCAUUUGCAGCAAUGUGGGCUUUAAAGAAUCAAUGGUUGCAUAUCACAUCAUUCCAAAUAUUCACGUAAAACUCAAAAAAAUUUCAGAAAAGGAAAAUUAAAAAAAAAAAAAAAGAACAGUCCCUCAAAAGUAACAAUGUUCGCUUUCAGGAUAGUACAAAGUUUUCUACAAUGAGGACUUCAAGGUUGUCUGAGGUGCAAGCAUCGUUUACUCUGGUGUUUUGGGAUAAGGUGCCAUCCUUUAUUAAUUAUUUCUUUUCCCCAAAAAUCUUGUUACCAGAACAUAACUUCUUAGAGGCACUCCACAUUUCCAGUUCGCUGUAGCUAGGACCUUAUGCUAUUUGUUAGAAAAGAAGAGCUCCCAUAUCAUUGCAGAAAUGUCUUCCAGGAAGGUACAAUAAAGGGAAACACGUAUAUUCAGUUUGCAUACAGGUAAACAAAGGCAGCAAGAAUAUAAUCCUGAGACACAAUUCACAUGCAGAUCCAUGCUUCAGUUGAUUUAAAUUUAUGUUAAAGCCUCUAAUGAGUACAAUCUGCAGAAUUUUUUUUCCCCAUUACUGACAAUGUGCAGAAUAUGUUUCUCUAUGCACCUUUUGAAUCCUUACAAUGUGCAAAAAGUCUACUUAGAUGCUACUCCAAAAAAAGAUAAACAUACUAUUCAGCCUCAUUAUUAGAUAUCGCUGAAUCUAUCACAAUAACUUAUUCCACCCAAUGACUACAGUAAAAAGGUUAUUAAAUAAACUUCAAUUGCGGUAGUUUCUCUUUCAAAUAAAUUCAUAUAUCAAAAAACUUCUAUUCAAAUUCCAGAUAUCAGUUGGUGCUAAUCAUGUCAUGCAGACUGGAACGAGUUUUUCAUCAUCAAAACUGAAACAUAGGUUUAAGAAGCUUUUUGUUACCUGUUGCUUUAACAGUAAAACCAGUUGGAAUAUGCUGUAUGUGGACAGAAGGGCUAGUUCUAGAAAGAUAUUCUUCAUCAGUUGAUGAGAAUGAGAUCAUUAGAACCUUGUCGUCAAUAAAGAUGUCGGGCACUGAUUCAAGAAAAAGAGGAAUAACAUCCACAGUAGCUGAACUACCCUGCAUUAUAUUAAGCCAGAAACUAGAUUUUUCAACAACAGGAUGUAUAUACAGUUUGUGGAAUAGAUAUUUGAAUGACACCAAACACCAGAAACACUUAUUCAGGGCUAGCAGAAAGAAACAGUAAGUCAACUGUAGAUCAAAAAGAACACAAAUGAAUGCUGAAGACAAUGCGAUGUUAUAAUAAUUGAAUAACCAAACAAGAUCUUUCAACAAAAAAUUCCAAACCCCUUUCCAUAAGAUCAUACAAACGGCUCCCACAAAUGAUGACAGUUUAGAUUGCAACUUGCACAUCCAUCCUUAUUACAGAACUGAAUAAUUGUCACUGUAAAGAUCAAUCUCCAAUAUUAACAGGAUCCAAUCAACAUGAAGUUACACGCACAAGAAGUAACCUUUUAUUACUACAAUGCCACAACAAAAGAUAGUCAACUACAGUUUCAAACUCAAAACAUAUAAUUCUUAUAACAAAAUCACUUUUUAACGAUUGACCAAUUAUACAUCCGCUAUUACUGGCCUCACUGAAGUCAAUAAUACAUUGACAGUGAAGGUGUGAUUUUUGAACAAAAUGCCUGUGGACUCUUGUCCAAGCCCGGUUAAUGAACUUUUUCCACGUUCGAAAACCCAAAAAGAGACACUUCUUAGAUGGAGACCUCUUAUUGCUGCUUCGUUAUAAGAUAAUAAACAACUGCUUUUCGCAUCAACAAAGAGAACCUCCAUUUGUUCAAAUGGAGGAAAAAUUUCCCAAACAAACACUUUCCAGUUUUUCAUAUGAAAGCUUUGCUAUGCUUCAAAAGAGACCAAAUGUACAGAUGUAGUGAAGAUCUUUCCUCCUCAUGCAUAAACUUCACUUGUUUAUGGCACCAUAAGAUGCACCGCUUAUGCGAGUGCAGCACUAGUCAGUUCAGCCUGCAUUAAGCUUACUUUUUAGGAAAGACAUCCUCACAUUUUAUCAGAACUAAAUUAUCAUAUUUAUGGGUUUUUAUUUGUAUUAAGAGGUUUUCACACUAUAGAAUUUUGUACGACUGUUUCUGAUGCAUCACUCACAUAAGCGAUAAAAAUUGUCUUUAGAAAAAAUAAGCUUCUGCCCAACUUCAGGAUGCCUGUACAAAAUGUAGAGUACUCCCCAUCCUAUCAAUCAGGUACUCUUAAGCCUUGUCUAAAUCCAUGUCUCAUCACAUUUUUCUCCUUCUAUGCUAAAUGAUUAAUCACUGGAAUUUUUACAACUAUGCUUGAAGUGACAACCUUGAACUAGUUUGCCUAAUGAGAUCCAAAUAAUGUCCAUUGGCUUUGCAAAGAAGUUAACUUCAAAUUUUUGUUACUAACAAAUAAGUGAACAAAAAUUAGCAGUUAAAGGGGAAAAAAAUGGCUGCUUGAGAAAGCUGUGCCAAUAGAACAACAAAUGAAUCACUAAAUUGAACCUCUGAGAUCUAGGCUAAAAGAAGCUCUAUUCGCACCUCAGAUGCCAAGGAUCCAUCAGGUGAGGCUUUUAUCAUACGGUGAACACCUCUUUCUCCCAUCAGGUAGCCAUAGACAAAGUUUGAUUCAAACUCAAGGAUUGCAGACUUGAUUCCACCAUUCUUUGAAGGAAAUUUCUCAAUUAUCCUCCACUUGUGACCUUGCUUUUCAGCCCACUUAAUGUACAUUUGUACCAGUUGUUCGGCCCAUCUCUGUAUCAGAAUUUUAAAGCAUUCAAAAGUAGAACAAGACAAAAUUCAAUAAAGUAUACUGUUUAAGUAAAAUCUAGUUAAGCUUAAGAGUUUAAAGUUGUAGACAACAUUGAAAUACAACUUAGUAACUGAAGACAAACCAAACUCUCUAAAAUGAAAGCAUACUAAUUGCCUAAAGGCAUAUUUAGAGGUUCUCCUAAAUCUCGAUGAAUUUGCAGGAAACGAACAUGGAAAAAGAAGCAGUCCAAUCAUAGCUGAAAAGUGUUUUAUCACAUGCAGCAACCAAUAAUUUGAUCAUUCCAAUGAUACUUUUCGAAAUCUUCAUAAGCUAAACCCACGCAAGGUGUUGGCAUUGUAUUGACAGCAUGCUAAAUCUACUCAAGAUGUUUUCAUCAUGUUGACAGCACGUAGUUCAGUAAAGAAGAAAAUGAACAACAAAAUUGACGAACUCACUCCAUGCCCAGUUACCGAAGAAGUAAAAAACAAGAGCACAAUACCCCUAGCCUCUUAUAUGUUCGUUUCACAACAAAAGCAACAUAACAAGAAUAUUAGAAAUUAUAGACAGAGAUUCAAAGAGACAUAAAACGAAGUACAAAAUAUAGAAAAUUUAAGCACAAGAACCAUAACUGAGAGCCAUCAUCCAAUUGCAGAGGCUGAGAAACCAAAAAAAGCAUAAGAUGAGAAUAAAUGGUGUGAAGAACAGACAGUUAAGAUCCUAUAUCGUGAGCCCAAUUCAACUUUGCUCAGCAAAUACAACACAACUGGCAAAUAUUUUGUACUUAAUUGCGCUGGAAUUAGUGUAAGAAUAUAGUAAAUCACAGGCUUUCCAUUGCUAGUCAGCUAAGCAAAGCUACAAUGGUGCCACAGUCACAGCAGGAAAAGCAAAAAGAAUGUGUUUAAGACCUAUAAGGUAGUCAAAGACCUCAUCGUGGAUGCCUUCAUGUCCAGAUUCUAUGGUAAUGCAAGCUCCCUCCCUUUCAUAUGGUUCAUUAAGAAGCUUGGACAUUUCAUACUUCUUCAAAAACUUAUUUACGUACACAGAUGCUGAAUAAGCCUGGUUAAAUAGCCCAUCAUUUAUAGCAUCCAUCUCUGCCAAUUCCAUGAUCAGCUUAGCUUCCUCAGCCUGCAGACAAUAUUGGAUUGGUUAAACAUAUACGACAUCUAUGCGAUCGAGGGUAUAAUUGUAAUACAAAGGAAACAAAUUUCUAAAAUCAAAUGAUCAAAGUAAUCAUAAUUUAACAUUCUUUUCUACGUCACAACAAUAAGUAAUUGCAUAGCAUAUUACCUUAUAUCUGAGAUCUUUAAGAGCAUCAACCGCCUUAUCACUCUCAGCCAGUUUGACAAGGAAUUCAUUUGCUUGGGCUAUGUCAUCCCACAGAUUACAUUCACGAAUAACUUUUUCCAGCUGGAUGCGUCUAGCUUCUUCCUGUUCCAAUGCUGUGGGUGCCAAUAUCUCAGCAGAAAGAAUUGAAUCUUCAAUCUUUUUCCUUAAGGCAAACAUACCUAUAACAAGUCCAUGAUCUUCACCAUUUAGAGACAAGAUCAAAAUAAACCAUGGCAGAAAGGUUGCAGACCCAAUUGAUUGUCAAAGAGACAUAAGAAUUAACCAUCAUGUAUUGGACUCUGAUAGAAAAAUAAGAACAGGAAACAUUUGGAUUCUGGUCCACCAAAUGAAUUGCAACAUUAUUUAUGUUUAUUAUGAGCCUUUAGGAUUUCCUUUGCAAUGCCAGCAAAGGCAGAGAAUCCACAAACUUAUGCACAAACCAGAAUAAUAUAAUAAUGGAGAAGAAAUAAAGGACUCAAGAAUAUUUAUAAUAUAGGAUGAGGAUUAGUUACAUGUACCUUAAUGAUAACUUCCCUAAGAAUGUUAAUUAAUAAAUGUUUCUCAGACAACUUAGAUACGAUACGAGAGGUGCAAAUCCUAUAUAUUCUUUUAACCUAUCUGAUACAAUGUGUGCCUGUCAUAUGAUGUGGCAAGGGGAGACAUUUUCCAGAAAUUAUAUUUUGGCAUGAGUCCAAUUGUGUAAGCCCCUGAAUGCUCUCAUGCUAAUGUAUGUCCACCAUUUUUCACAUUACUAGCUAAAGUUGCUUACAGUGUUCUACUCAGUCAUAAUUAACCUACCUACUUCAUCUGUUGGCCAACCUGCAGCUAUCGUUUCACCAUCCAGGUUGAUAGGGAAGUUUGACAGGAAUAUAGCCACUUAAGUCAUGGGUACUUUUAAUAUGAGUCUGCAUUGAACUAUGGAUAACUGACAACUUGGUGAUGUAAUUAUACAGAGAUUACAAUGUGCAUAUGCCAUCACUAAUGGAAGAGAUACUAUGUAAAUAAGGAUUCAAAUGCUCAUAGUUCUCACUAGAUUAAGGCACUAAAUAUGGCCUUAGCCACUGUAGGAAACUCCACCAAUAAGAAAUAUGAUAAGAUUGAUGCCUCCCUCAAGAAAGAAGAACAAGAUUGAUUCAUCCUGAGGAAAGAAGGAAGAAAGGGAUGCUACUGUCGAUAACCUGGAGUUGGAAAUCGAUUUCUCAGAAGGUGAAUUUGAAAAUCAACUUUGAAGAACUUCUCCAUGUUUUGCCUAGUUCUCAUUCAUCUUUGCCAGACAUGAACUAUUGCACAAGCUUCAGUAAAUAGCUCCCAAACUAAGGUUGUACAAAUAUAAGUACCAACUGUUGCUAAUAAAAGCCUCAGCUACCACUUUAUCCCCCAAAAAAUUGGCAUUUCAAUCUGCUAAUCAGAAAAUAAUGUUAUUCUCCCACCAAACACGUCAAAAGCAUUGCAUAUUUGGCAUAAAAGAAGCCCAACCUUGUUGUCUGUUAACAAACAAAUCUUAUUCCCAGACUCUGAACUUUGUUUGCUAGAAACUUAAAACACCCAAAUUAGUGUUAAAAGCAUACUGAUUGGUCAAUCUAUCGUGAUUAAAUUACUAAUGAUGAAAGAUGCUACUUAGGCUCAUACCAAAUAGGUAAAAUCAAAGCUACUCCUAUUAUAUAAGUUAAAGCUACAGAAAAGAAAGGGGAGUGAAGCAUAUAUAAUUAGCCAAAUUGACCCAUUAAGCAUUACAUGUGUAUUUAUAUCAUUUUUCUGAAGGAGACACCAAUUAACUUAUCUUAAAACAAUGAUUUCAAUGUUCCCCUUUUCUUUUCUUUCUUCUUGAAUCUAGGUAUAGCAAAUUAUUUUCUUCUUAUCACUCCCCGAAGAGACUCUGAUUUCUGACAUGGGUCCAAUUUUCCUCCAUUUUCCUGAUAUUAAAGCACCAAAAAAAAAAAGAAAAGAAAAUGACAAGACUGUUGCAUGACUAACUAUUUUAACUAUCUUUACAUGAACCCACAUCCUAAUCAACAAAUAUUGCAUCAUAUAUCGUGUAAUAAAAGCAGGCAAUAACAUAUCCAGACAGAUAAAAAUUCAAAAAUGUAACCGUAUGGUGAGUGACACAGAGAGUAGAGGGAAAUCGAAACGAACCAAGUUGUUUAUUGGAGUUGCUUUUGUCAUUGAGGGGCUGAGAAGCUCGAAUUCUUGAGCUUUUAUGUCGCCGGCGGACUGAGGAAGCUGAAGAACUAAGAGCUGCACUUAGAGAAAUGGGUUCAGCUGGAACUUUCGCCAUGUUUUUGCUGCUCAACUCAAAUACCUGUAGUUCUGACACGGUUUUUUGAUUGUUGGAGUUCGGACGAACUUGGGAGUCUAAAAUGGUACGAGUGGAGUUGGUGCUGGCAGUCGACCGUCUACAAUUGUAACUCGCCCGAUGCCAAGUUGCCUCUCCAGUCGUGCGUCAUUACAAGCUCCUAUGGCUAUUUCUCUAUGGUCGAACAAAAAACUAACAAUUCCCUCUUUUGCCUCCCUUAUGCUUUUUCUUCUAAUAAUAAUUUUGUUAUUCUUUUCUUACAAAUAUCUUAUUGAAUUUUAUAUUUUUUAUAAUGAAUAAACGUGCAAUUGUAUCUUGGAUAUGGGACAGGACCGUCCCUGGAUGGUCUCCUCACAAGCCUCAAUAAGUGGCUGAAAAAGAGCCACGCAGCCAAGGACCACAAGAGAAGCAAAAGUGUUGUCGUUCAAAUUAGUAAAAUCUAAAAAAAAAAUUUGAGUUGCCUUAUCUUAACGGACUGGGUUAAACUAAACGAAACUUUCAAAAGUUUGAAUUUUGAAAUGAAAUUUUGAAUUUGAUAGUUAGUUUCAAGUUAAAAUUGAGAAAGUCAUUAUUCAACACAAUGUUGAAGAAAACAACUUUAUCUUUCUAACCGGGAAUUGAAAAUUCAACAUCAUAUUUACCUUCAAGGAAACUAAUUUCUCUCUCUAGCUGGGGAUAAGAAAAUUGCUGAGAGAUAACCUUCUUCCUCUUUGUUGAAACUAGAGGAGUAACGUGUUGUGAGGGAUAUGUGCUUGAUGGAUAAGGGUUAUUCAAACUGAAGAAGCAAGCUAUAGCAGUGUUUCAUCAUUACAAAGGAGAUUUGUUGACGAUUAAGGGUAAAGACCACAGAUGCAACAGGUAUUGACGCCUUGCUAUUUCGAUCAUGAAGCAAAUAUUGGGUAGCAAAAUAGAACUGAGUAAAUACACCACUAUCCCCGAUGGCGAAGUAAGGUUGAAAAACAAUGGUAGAGGUAGACGAAGGUAAUUCUACUAACCCUUAUCCUUAAUUUUGGUUAUUCAUAGAUCGAUUAGUAACUCUUAAAAUAACCAAAUCAUUAGAUUGAUAAAGGAGUUUAAGCUUCAUACAACUGGGGAAAAAUGUUAAGUAUAGUUAGGAAAACUAUGUUAUAACGCAAGAGUUAUGUAUUAUACAAUUCUUGUGUUUGUAUGACUAUAUAGAAAGUGAGUUAAAAGUUACAAUCUAUUGAUAUGAUUAUACAUGUAUAAAUUUUGCUAUUUGUAAUUGCUUUUAAAGUAUGGCAUAACUUUUGCUAACUUGUAGGAUUUUGUCUAGAUAAGGUGUGUGAUGUACACCUUGUUUAUCAGAAUGUAUGGUAUAUUAUUCAUCAAUAACAUUAUAUCAAAAUUUUUUACUAGAUGGUUAUUUGUUCCAAUCACCUACUAAAUUGACUAUUAGUACUUAUGAGAAUGAAUUAAAUAUUUAGUAGACAUGUAGUUUACUUCAAUAAGUAGCAUGUAUAUAUAUAAAUAAUUAGUGAAUGUACAAUCUGGUUAAAAUAAUGUACACUGUGUUACUGACCAAGUACGAUGCAAAGAAAUUGUUAAACAAACAAUUAUUUGUCCACAUGCAUCUUGCAAUUAGUCAUCGCAACCAUAUGCAUAGUGCAGUGGUAUGCAUACAUUUGAAAUGAUUAUUAGUGUUUUGACCCACUUAUGUAUCUCCUUGCAGGCUGCAGUGGUUGUGUAAUUUUAUUUGUAUGACUAAUACUCAUUUGCCUAUAAGUACCUUACACGGGGUGAUCUAUGAGAUACAAUCAGUUUACUAAAAUGUACAUUAUGUUAGAUAUUAGUUACUUGACUGUGUAUAUUUAUGAAAGGUAGUACAAUGGUAUGCAUAAAUUUGGAAUGGUUAUUGGCCCUUUGAUCAACUUGGGCAUCUCCCUAUAAUAGAUAUGUAAUUUUACUUGUACGAGUAAUACUUGUUUAUCUAUGAGUACCUUACACGGGUUCAUCUAUGAGGUACAAUCAGUUUACAAAACUAUACAUCAUAUUAGGUGUUAAUUACUUGACUAUGUAUAUUUGUAAAAGGGAGAUUAGAUAUAGCGCAACAAAAAGUAGUUACAUGAGUUGGAAUGUAUUUUACAAACUUUGGUAUAGUUGAUAUUAGCAUUUUUCUGUAGAGUGUACACGUUGUUAGUAGGUAUGGAGUAGUGCUAUAUCUUAUGUAUGCUUAUAUGGCCAUAAAUUUACAGAAGUUAGUCUAUUGUUUGAAUUUGUAACUGGUUGUUAGCUCAUACACACUGUCACAUACAUACACAUAAUGUAAUAAUGAAUUUACUAUAUAGUUGUUUAUUGGUUCAUAGAGUUCAUAUAGGCGUAUAAAUUGGGAUCUGAUUAACUAUGCCCUGUAUGUAAUUGUUAGCACAUUAUAUCUUAUUGAUCUUAUUCUGUAGUGUGUCAUGGGCAAAGAUAGUUUCUUUUGACAAAUCAAUGGAUAUCAAUCAAGGCUGGUCGAGUAAAGGAAAUUAGAUUAGACAAUUAGAUAGUUCAUUACGCUAGACUUGUAAUACUAGUUAGAAUGUACUUACAUUUAGUUCUUAAUGCAUUACCACAUGUUCAAUCCAUUUUACAAUGUAUUAGCAGAAAAAAGUUAAUUAUUAGUUUUAGAUUCUGUUUAUCAGUGUUGUAUAUUUAGUUAGUAUUUAAGUAUUAUUUGUUGUUAAUUUUUUAUUGUUAGCUCGAUCUAUUUUACAAUAUAUCCAGAGCAAUAACUCUAUUCUAUUAAUUAGUAAAAAAAAUAUUUAUUUUUUAUUGCUAAUAUUGUAUCCAAUAUUGGUAUUUAUUGACUUUCCGUUGCUAAUGAUUUACAAACUAUUUAGUCCAUUUUUUAUAUGUUUAAAAAAAUAAAGAUUUUUAUUUCACAAAUUGGUAAAAACUAGUUAUAUUUGGUUACUUAUAUGUUGCAUACACACUGAUUGAACAAAAAUUUAAUUAGUCAUUUACUACUAUUACGGAAAUAGUGGAUUUAGAUAAGAUUUUAGUUGUCAAUAUAUGACAAUCUCAAAAAGGAGUAAUUACCCAUGCCUAUUGCAAUGAGUCUUUGCAGUCACAUGUGUAGUGCAAUGGUAUGCAUAUAUUUGGAAUGAUUAUUGGUAUUUUGAUUCACUUGUGCAUUUUCUUGCAGGCUAUAGUAGGUGUGUAAUUUUAUUUGUAUGACUAAUAUUAAUUUACCUAUAAGCAACUUACACGAGAUGAUCUAUAAGAUACGAUCAGUUUACAAAAUUGUACAUCAUGUUAGAUGUUAAUUACUUAAUUGUGUAUAUCUAUGAAAGGUAGUGCAAUGGUACGUAUAACUUUGAAAUGGUUAUUGACCAUUUGAUCAACUUGUGCAUCUCCCUAUAAUUUAUGCAUAAUUUUACUUGUAUGAGUAAUACUAGUUGUCUGUGAGCACUUUACACGGAGUGAUCUAUGAGUUACAAUCAAUUUAUAAAAAUUUAUAUCAUGUUAGGUGUUAGUUACUUGAUUAUGUAUAUUUGUAAAAGGAAAAUUAGAUAUAGUGCAGUAAAAGAUAACAACGUGAGUUGGAGUGUGUUUUAGAAAUUUUGGUGUAGUUGAUAUUAGUAUUUUUCUGUGGAGUGUACACGUUUCCGUUUUAUCCACAAAUUUGUAAUACAUAGUGUCACUUAUUUCCAUUUUUAUCAAACCCCAAACUAAAAGCCUUAGAAAUGUGGUUGGGAUGUCAAUUUUGGCAUACUUAUAUCAUUUAAUUGCUCUUUGAACAAAUAUCCUUAGGUUUAUUAGGUAUGAUGCAUAUAAAAAUAAACCAAAUAUACACUCCAAUUAUAACAAUAUGUACAACAAUUCUAAUAGAUAUAUACAAUGAUUCAAACAAAUUUACAAAUUGAACAAAAAUCUAUGAUGAUUACAAUGAUAUUUACAAGGAUUCGUACCUAUCACUACAUAACAUUUUUUAUAAAUCGAAAUUGAAAAUUUACAAAUAUUGUGCUAACAAAAAUCUAUAAAAAGAAAGUAAAAGAGUUAUACAAUGCUGUUAAUUGAGUUUCACUUGCUCCAUUCUUCUUCUCAAGUUGAUUUCUCUUUUUUUCUUUCUAAUUAUAAAUGGUGGGAUUGGUUCUGCAAGCUCAGGAGUUCCCACUUUUCAUAUUUCUUCCUUUUCACAUGGAUUCUUCUUUGUCCUUUUUCGUGCCAUCUUGCCACUGCUCAUGGAAAUUGUAAAGGUUAUUCAAUUUGUUCAACACAUGUCAGUUUUGCUAAAACUUCAUAUACUCUUAUCUAUGCAAUUAAAACAAAGUGAGACCAAUUUAACAAUUCGUAAUUGCAAUCAAUCAAACAGUCACGUCUCACUAUCCUGCCAACAUACUAGUACAACAUAAAAGCAUUGACAAACUUACAUAUUCAAGGAUUUUGAUGGUGCUUCAAGAUGCUUUUUUAGUCGAACUUCUCAAUCUCCUUCAUGUCAUUUGCACCAGUUUUUGAUAAACAAUUACUUUUAAAUUACAUAAGAUUUUCUCCCAACAUUCCUAAAUCAAGAUAAAGUAGUUCUAAGAAUGAUAUAGCAAAUUCAAUUAUGAAUAAGACAUUCUGAACAAUAAGUACAUUCAACUUAAUAUAUAGACAUUUUGAACAAGACAUGCAUGAUCUAUGAGAUAUAAUUAAUGAGGUAUUAGUUACUUGACUGUGUAUAUCUGUAAAAGGUAGAUUGAAAAUAGCACAAUGAAAAGUAGCUAUGUGAGCUGGCAUGUAUGCUAGAACUUUGGUAUAGUUGAUAUUUACAUUUUUUUUGUGGAGGUAUAGCUAUGUGAUUGUUUUUAUGUUGAUAAAGUUUUCUCCUGACAUUCCUAAAUCAAAAUAAAGUAAUGAUAUAGUAGAUUCAAUUAUGUGUAAGACAUUUUGAACAACAAGUAUAUUCAGCCCAAUAUAUAGGCAUUAGAACCAAUAUUCAUGCCAAUCAACUUUCAUACUGUGGGCUUCAAUUACUGGUGUGCUACAGUUAAUUGGGGUUUCAACUUAUAAACAAGAGUAAACUUAUGUCUGCAUUUCUUUCCUCACAAGGGUUCCAUUAUCAAUUUCUAGGACUUGAUUUAAUAUCAUUAUGCUAGUUGAUUGUGCAUUUACAAUCGUGUCAAAGUAUUUUUCCAUUGUCACUGUUCUAUCACAGAAUGUAAUAGUUAUCUAACAAGAUGUACAUGCACACUAAUUAAGAUAACUGAUAAUCAUUUUUCCACACUAAGAAAGGCAAUUUGAACAAGAUGUCUUACCUUCUUUUUUUUCCUUCUUUUCCCUAACUUAUUUCCACUGCAUGUUACGCGUAAUUGUCACCAAGCUCAUGUAUUGAGUUCUAUAGAUGUUGCGAGAGACAAACACCAGCCACUUACAUAUUAAGUGAUUUAGAUGGAGCCUUAGGUUGUUUGCCAUCAAACUUUCAUGUUGCUUCAUCUCUACCACUUUUCUUACUGGAAGUUCUAGAUUUUUUUUCUGCCAUUUAAACUGGAGUUUUAUACAGACAAUUGCACUUCAGUUCCAUUAUGCUUUCCCUACUUAUUCUUAAUGCAUUACAAAGUACUAACAUAAAUAAUAUAUCACUUUCAAAUCUCAGUAACAAUAGUUAUGAAAACUCGUAACUUAUUUUCAACAUUCUGUUUGCCAAAAUUAAUAGUAGGUUAAUUAUUCUGUCUAGCCAAUUCGACUUACAAUCUACUCUCAGUCAUUUAUCAACUUUGAUGGGAUUGACUUCUUCUUCUAUUUAUUGUCCUACUCUACAAUUAUGAGUUAAUGUAACAACCACGAGAUACCAAUUUCACAGUUAUGUUGACAAAAUUUUACAGAGCAGUUCUUAUACUAUAAUUGCUAACUCACUGCGUGUUACAGUUAUCCAACUUCAUGUCCAAGUACACUAGCAAAGUAAAACUUGUAACCUUUUUCCACAUUGAGUAUGCCAAGCUAAAUUCAUUCUGCCUACCCUGUUUAGAUUGUCGUCUGGUGCCCCAGCUAUCAAGUUUCAAACAAUCAACCUCUUCUUCUAUUUAUCCUGUGAUUAUGCAAAUACGAGUUAACUAACAAAGAAUAGAUAGCAAUUUCACAGUAUGUUCAUGCAAUAUUACAUAUCAGUCAGGCUAUUGUAACUGUUGACUAACUCCAUGUAACAGUUAUUCAACAUAGUGUCUAACCCCACUAGCUAAAAAAAUUUGUCUGCAAUGCGUCUACCAAUCUGAGUGUCAUGUUAUUUUACUCUGCAUAAUAAUUUUACUCCUCGUCAUUAUUUAUUCUUGUGAAAUGUCUCUUAUACAACAUGUUGUAAGAGGCAUUUUUAAGGGAAUUAUCUUUGUAAUACUUUUUUUUUCACUUUGUAUGUUGCCAUGAAUAGUAUGUACAAACCACACAUAAAGUAUAAUCUGCAUGCAGGCACUGCUAAUCAAUAAAAUCUAUAAGAAAUUCAUAGAAACAACCAGUAUCUUUGUUAUAUUAUUACCCAAACAAUUUCCCAUCCUAUUCACAUGAUUUUACAAACACUUGGCGCACUAAGUUUUCCUCACCUAUCCUCCCCUAUGUUGACUACCAAAAUACCUACCUUCUUCUACUCAAGACUAGUGAACAGUCUAUUCUGGCAAAACUAUUAAUGAUCAAUUAACCUAUUCAUUCACAAUAUUGUCCAACAAUGACAACUACUCACAUCGCUCCACGACCUUGUCAAAUUUCAAAAGUUAUGUGGUACCAUUGUUGUUUUGUUACCUGGGUGUUUCCUGCUUUAUCUCUUCUUCGGAUGCGAAACUCUGCUCUUCUGUCGCUACUUCUUCCUUUUUCUUGUUGUAAUAUAUCUCAGCGCAAUUAUAUUUCCCUUGCUUUCCCCUAUCCCUAGUCUGCCUCCAAUCACUUUCUAGUUCUGCCUCCAGCCACUUUCUUGUAUUCUUUGUUUGCUUUCGUUUUCUAGUGUUAUGGACAAAUGAAAAUUGGCAAUUGUUGUGAAGGGAAAACAAAUGACCUUUUUGUUUGACGAUUCAUUUGCACCGGAUUUUGUGGAACGGAGCUAAUGCUUCAUGUCGAGGUCCGUCAAAAGCGUCAAUUUCUUUUUUCCAUUACUAAUUUAUGUGGCGUCAUUUUUCCACCUUCCCAAAAUUGGUCAACGUGAUUAUUUCUAAUCCUUUCGCUUGGGAUUGUGAGAGGACCGUUCAGAGACGGUCAUCAUCAGAAUGAACGUCCUUGUCCCGUAUCCUUGUACCUUGACAUUUUUUUUAUAUAGAAAAAAAGCUCAAGGAAGGUUAACUUCCUGUAUACGCACAAGACAGAUUUUGAAUCAUUUAUCUAAUGUAAGAAAAGAUCUUAGAAUUAAAAUAUAAUAUACAACAUUUGACAAUGCAUUACAUUUAACUGUUUGUGAUUGACUAACAAGAAGUACGAUUGUAAGACGUCAAUUGAAGUAUUAGUUUUUUAGAGAUUGGAACUAUUUCAAUUACUUAAAUACACAACAUAAAAAGGUAUAUCCACUAACGAAAAUAUCACCCAAAAAAGCAAGAGCAAUAUAUAGCAUGUUAACCAAACACCUUUAGAAUAGUUGACCACCAACAAAAAUCUUAAGACUCUUCUUGCAUUCAUUUUCAAAAUUUUCUAAAAAUUUCACCAAGUACAAAAAUACCCGUUUAGUCUGAUAAUAGUUUAAUUUCCUCCAAAUUCUCUCUUAACCCAUUUGAGCCCACCCCUCCCCCUUGGUAUAGAGUAAAAAUAAAAAUAGAAUAAAAAAGCUAUCGUGUUGACAAUAUACAUACAUAUAUAUACACAUAUAUAUAUAUAUAUAUAUAUAUAUAUAUAUAUAUAUAUAUAUAUAUAUAUAUAUAUAUAUAUAUAUAUAUAACAUGUUAACUUAUACGUUCUUGAAAAGAUAGGCACUGCAAUAUGUACUUUCCAACUCCGGUUAUUUCGACAAACAUAUAUUUACAAAUUCUCACAGCUUCCCUAGUUCAAUGGCUUGCUCAUUUAAGAUUAGCAUGACUAAUCUUAGCGAGCAUUUACAGCGAUUCUGCAAAUUGAGAAGCCUCCAGAUCAAGUUCUUGUUUCAUGAUGCAGGUCAUCAGCCAGUCACUGCCAAACGUCUGCAUGCCAUUCCUUACAGCUAAGAGUGCUUCUUCCAUAUCCUCUUCAGAUGCAAUAUAUAUUGUUUUUGAUGAUUCAUUCACUUUUUGCAUUCCGGAAACCACCUUCAAAUUAUAGAGUUAAGCAAUUAUGAUUAUCUCAAUUAACAAGGCCAACUUAAAAGCAUAAGCAAUUUCAGAAAAUGUUCCAAAGCCAUAACUUGUGCGAGGAACUAAAACUAAGCAGCUAAACCAGCAAACACAAAGAAGCCAGAUUGUUAAAGUAACAGAAGCGAAAGGAAAAGCAGCUAAGAAGAACAGAUAUCAGCAUAAAGGCGCUGGAAGCGUAAUGUAGUAGCCAUCUGACACAGAAUGUUUCAGAAGUUCCUUCUCCUACAGCUUGAGCUUCAACUGGCACAGAAUUGGUAUGAAGCAAAAUAUAACAUGGUCUUUUUGGACUACAGAAAUUUUAGGAACAAUUGGGCAUAUGCUUAAUCUGUUGAGAAAGGAUAACUCAUAGCAGACUUACAUUUCCCCCAGCAGACUUUAUGAUGGUCGAUAGAGUGCGCAUUGGGGGUUGAACAUGUGCUGCGAGACAUAUGUCAUGACCUUUAAGUAAAGAAUUGGGAUUUGAUUUUGCUCUAAGGACCGCAGCUUUCAGCUCUACCUUAUACUUGCACUCAUAAUCUUCGUCUUUCAAAAGAUAUGGCAUUUCAUCUGUUGUGAUUGACAAACUAAUCACAUAUCUCCAAACUUUAAGCAUAUUGAAGCAUCAAAUUUAACAUUUUGACCUACCCACAAAUCUGCCUCUCCGAUAACUUUCCUUUAACCAGCUAGGUGAGAUAAUCCAAGCUCUGCAUAACAGGAUACAUCCAAAUAAAUAACAAAAUGAAACAUAAAAAGAAGAAUUUAAAAGAGACUAAAUUUUGAUGGAUGAAGCCAUUAGAGCGUGCAAAAUUAGCAAGAGAGUGCAUAGUGUACUGCAAUAUUAUGAUCUACAUGACUGGGGAAAGGAAAAGUUGCAAGAAGAGUAGAUCCAAGGUCAAUUUUGGCAACAAAGUAGAAAAUAAGCAGGCAUAAUUGUUUCACCAAAUAAUUCCAUUUUUAUUCACAACCUCAUCUAUCACCAGUGCAUGUUUGCUUGUCUCUGAAUUGUACAAGACUCAGGACGCCAGGUAGCUAUUAGUUUUGUAAUUUUCACUGAUUGUUAUUUGGAUGUUAUUUGGAUAACAAGCAAUCGACUUGUUCUCUGCUUCAUCCACUACAUACUGCCGUAGCCUAAAAUUCUCUUUAGUUUCCAAUUGAUCUCCAGUUCUGAGUUGAUAGACAUGAUCCUCAGCUAUUGCUACAUCAAUUACUACUUGACAUUUCCAUAGUUGCAGAGUCAAUGAACAAAUGGUGUCUUUGAUAUUGCAUGAUUGUGAUUUCAAGUACUGACCUGUCCUUUUGAACCUAAUAUCUUCGUAAAGCUUAAUCAUCUAGAAAGUGAAUUAGAGCAAAUGAAUUUUGCAGAAUGUCUUAAAAGAAGCAACAUGACAACAAAAGAACCAGAUGUAGUGAAGUGGUAAAUGAACUGAUCUUGACUUUCAAAAGGAUUAUGUGGACAGUAUGAGUUAAUGAGCAUGUAUUCUAAUGAUUGCAUGUCAAAACAUUCAAAUUCAAACUAAACUUACCCAGAGCAGAGAGCUGUGCAGAAAUUCAACGUUUUUCUCACUUUCCCUGUCACUACAUGUGAGCUUACUCUUCCAUCAGAGGUAACAAUCCCACCUAGGUCCUCAAUUAUCUACACCAACAGUAUCAAUAUGGCAUAAGAAGCAUAAAAGCUACUUACCAAGAAAGCUAAAUUCUACAAGAAGAAUGAACUCUAGUCUAAGCCUUAUUAUAUUUCUUUAGGGGACGUGCUGAGGUUGAAAAGUGAAAUAGGAUAAGCCAGUAUCAGACAAGGACUUAAAACUGCCAAAACUGAAAAAAAAAUACACCAUAUUGGCAUCAUUUUGAUUCUUUAGAAAAGAAGACCAACAUUGCCAAGGGCUUUUAGAUCACAGCGCCUCCAUUACCGUAGAGAAAGGAAAGAAGACUUCCAUCUCCAUAGUUUUAGAUGAACCUUACCAUCCCUUCAAUAUCUUAAAAUUAAAAUAGAGAGCUUAGGUGAUAUAAUUACUCUACCUUCACCAUGAAUUACUCAUUGACUACACUGCAGUUUACCGCAUCAAUAUUUAGGACCCUAUCCUUUCAGGUCACAUGACCGACUGCUCACCAGUUCUACAAGACAAACCACAGAUCUGGUAGUUCAGCUUGAAAUUUCAAAUCUGGGCUUACCUUGGUUAAACUUGAUUUUUUCUUGUCAUCAGCAAUAUUCAUUAGCAUUAUUUUGAAGCAUAUAUCUGUUGACAAAAGUUUACAGCUGCCUUUAUCUUCUGAUGUCUCAUUAAUUGCUCCACAUUCUACAUUGUUCUUUUCCAAACAGUCAUUUGCGAAAGCAUCUCCACCCACCAAUAAUUUGUUUCCAUAAAGAAAUGUACUUGAAUUAGAACAACAUUCACCACUUGAGCCAAAAUUUCUGGGAUCUGAUUGACAAUCAAUUGCAUGACCACCCUUUACUUUCUUUGAAUUCAUUGAGGUAAGUGAGGCUUCCCAUAUCCUUUUCUUUGUCCCUUGUGUUGAACACGAACAUUUCUUCAUCUCAAAAUCCUCUCCACUUUUUCCAAACUCCGAAUUGUUAGCCGUAUUGAUAUAUUCCAAAAGCUUUCCACUAUCUGCAUCUUGGCAACCUGGAAUUUCAAUGCAACUGGAGUAAGCAUUUCCAAAGUACAAAAAGAAUUAGGACUCCACUAAUAGCCAGAGCCUGAAAGAGGCAAAAAUAAAAAAGAAAAGGAGAAACCCAGAAAAAUAUAUUUAUACUUAAAGAAAUGAUGUUUUAGGCCAAACAGACACACUGUAUCUUACCAAGAUAGCAUUUCAACAGUUAAAAGCAAAGAACAACUAAGCAUGGCCCUGGUCCAUCUUGCAUGGAAAUGGUGCUAAGAUUAUAGUACAGUGCAUCCAUAAAUAUGUUGGUCACCCAAAGAAAGAUAGGAUAUCCUUAUAAAAAAAAGGGACUAUCCUUACAUUAUCAAUUCUCAUAGAUCAUGUAGGUCAAUAGCUGGUCUAACUGAUUCUCCUUGAAUUUUUUUGCAGUUGGCCUCAAACAUACAGAAAAAAAAAUCUGCUGUGGCUAGCUGCCUCAUCAGAUCAAGUGUUGAAAAGUUUGGCAUUAGUGGAUAAAUCUGAUAAUAUAUUCAAGAGAAACCACUUUGCUUAUUUCAGCACAUUUAAAGAUACAGGAGAACACCAGGGUUUCAUAGGGGGCAUGAUUAAAUUCAAACUUACAAAUUUAAUAUUCUUUCCAAAGGUAUCACUAAGAGGAUGCCAAGGGCACAAGUAAUAAGUUAGUCAUUGAAUCAUUAUGUAGGCAUUGAACCUUCAUCUCUGUAUAUAUAUACUGUUUUAGGAAACAUAAAUGCAUUUUAGAUGAGUACACAUAAAUAAUGCAUGUGAGGAUACACAGAGAACAAGACGAGAGAUUUCACUUACCAUCAAAUAGAAAUCUCUCGAUAACAAGAUUUUCAGCUUGAGCAUAUGCUGUGCUGCUGAUUAAUUGAUUCCCUCCCUCUGAAUGGCCAGACUCCUCUAUGCACUCUGGUUGCAGCUUCUGAACAACAUCAGAUAAAUGAUGCUUCAUGGGAAGCUUUAGUGGAUACAACAGCUUUAUUUGCUCUGCAGGAUCAGCUGAACUGUCAUUAAGGUGAGAUACCAUAAGGGUAGAACCACCAGGGAAGCACAAUGCCUUUCGGAUUUCAGCCUUGAUAGGCAGUCUCCGUGCUCUGCCCUUUGUGUUGACCUCUCCAAUCACCACAAAACCCUGUUUUUGAAUCCAUCCUCACAAAUCAAUUUCCAAGAAUAAGUGAAGCAUUGAUAUUUGCAAAGUUGCCCAAGACCAUAUACAUUGAAAAUAGAAGAAAACAUAAAUGCUAGAGAAUAUAUCUAGACAAGGAGGUCCUCUUCCCUGGGAGAACAUCGCAGAAUAUGGAGAUUGAUGAAAGCAACUCAAUAGCACAAGCAAGCAGACAGAUAAACCCAAAUAUCAAGCAUCCGUUCUCCAGGAUAUACCUGUUUCAGCCAAAAUCCUUCAGACUCCUGAUCCCCCCAACAUAAAAUUGUGCGGAUGCCUACUUUCUGCAGUCUGUUUCUCAAUUCCAUGUACAGAAGGCGACCAAUCCCCUAAAUAAUGCUUAAUUAUCAGCAACCAUUUGAAUGCAAGACAAGCCCAAAGUAUUAGCACAACAGAACUGAACUCACUAGCAGCAUGAAUUUCAAUUUGAAUUAGAAAAAUAGGAAUGUCUUAAACAUAAGUAGAUACAGGAGAAUAAUGUAAUUGACAGGAAAUCCAGAUCUUAAAAUAAAGUGUAAGAUAAUAGGAGAAAAAGUUGCAGCAGCUUAUAUAUCAUCUGGCAAUGAGAGAAGCUAACCACUUCUUAGUUUUAUGUACUUAUCCCACUACACAAUCUCCAACUAAACUUCUAACACCACCAUCCACCACCCACCCACCAUCCAAAAUUCUCUCCCCAAGGAAAUAUGGGGAGAGCAUAAUUUAGCCACAUGGUUCUUAAAGGGACAGACCACUUUGGAAAAGACCGAAAGAUCAAACCAAGAAAAGUAGCAAUACCAACACUGACACCUGGUGAUAGAUUUACAGAACAAGCAGAUAACCUUUUUCUGGUACAUUGAACUGACAGCGGCUAAUGGAAUUUCAGCAUACUGUGUAUCAGCAGGGACUAUUUGAUAAGUGAUAGCAGAAAGAACCUGUCAAAAUUUGAGAUUGUCAAAAGAAGUUAACUUUUUUAAUAGAUAAGUUAUUAACAAUUGAAUGAGUCAGUUAGAUAUAGCACAGCCAGAAAUGAAAAAUCAGCAAUCAUUUAGGCAGGUUUGUUAUUGCAGUAGUGUAUAACUCACCAGCAUGAAUCAAAUCUAUGCAGAUUAUGCAUACUAACAUGAAUCGGUCUCCUAAAAAGGCUCUUCUCAUUUGUAAAAAGUGUGUUCUCCUUUACUUUUAUCCUGGAAGGUAAACGUUUGGCAGACCUUUACUAGAAUCCCAUGUGUAAUUACAGGCCCAGCCCAGAAACAUUCAUAAAUUUAAAAGGCACCUUAACUCUAGUCAUGGAACACUAUCUGAACCUCUUAAGACAGCUACUAUUAUUAUUUGAUUAAGACACAUAUUUUGCUACAAUUUCAAAAUUAGCUGCUCCCAUUCAAUUCAAUGUUCAUAUUAAGAUAUCAUAGAACAGUAUUAAAAGGAAUGAAUGGGGUCACAAACAUGUCCCCUUUUUCUGCAAUACACAAUCUUGGAACAACAUAAUUAAUCAUUCAUUUGUGGUGCGAGAAUCUCAAUACAAAGUGUAUAUGGUACUGAAAGUGUAUGUUAGGCAUUCAAUCUCAACGAUUUAAUCAUCACUUGCUGGGUUAGUCAGCAUGAAAAUAUUGAGUGGGCAGUAUUAUUCUACAAUCUACUCUUGUAAGUUUUUUACCAGCUCUGUUGAGAGAAUUUGACCCAUUAAGGUGCAUUCAAACUACAAAUAUAAUGCCUGCUCUGGAAUUAAAGUACACUAACCACCAUAGUUUUUUCUGAAUCAAAGUCUACAGUUAAACUGUCGCUUCAAAAAUAAUGUAAUAAAUACCACUUAACUGUUACAAAAGUGAUGGAUUUUCUUUUUAACUUGAAGCAAGUGAAAAAGUACCCUAUUAUUGUUCGUAAGAACUAGUACCGUCUCAAUCUCUAACAAUAAGCACCUACCAAUAACUAUGACUGAAUGGAUAAGGUAACGUAAAGUUUCACUCAUGUGCACCAAAAAGUUCCUAUUUGUCCUAAACACCAAGCUAAUGCACAUCCCCUUUUAAAGUUCAUACUGCCUUACAAGAAAGCAAAUACACAUAGAAACCAAGUCCAUAAUCUAGUACAGAGACAAAGGAGUAAGUGAUCUAUUAUGAAUAAACUGUCAAUAGGAAUUGCACAGAAAUGCUGAAGUUGACAUUCAAAGACACUAGGAAACAGAAGAAGAAGAAGAUAGCAUUUUCUGUUAUGUCUCUGUGUGAGGAAACGUUUAAUUCUUAAAACCUAUAGGCAUACAAGAUGUUUAUGAUCCCUGAUGGAGAAACUCCUCCACACAGUUUAUUUUAUUAUUCAAAGGAUUUGGUUUAUUUACAUGACACGCCUAAAUAAAAUCUUUAACUGCUUUAAUAACCAUGCACAUAAGAGUUAAAAUAUAUAAAUAGUCUUGUGAGUUUAGUCAUGACAAUAUUCUCUAGCAUUUGUCCCACUUUUGUGGGUUGUAAUCACACACACCCACACAUUUGCAGGAGAGAGAGAGAGAGAGAGUUAGAAAUACUGCCAUUUGAGCAAUAAAAGCUGAAGCCAGUGGCAUGCAAUUGAGCAUUAUAGUUACUCUGCUUAAAAGAGUUGCUAGUAUAUGGAGUCCAGCGAUUAAUGUUAUACCUCUCCUAGUUGGUCAUUAGACUUGCAUAUAAGAAGUAAUGUGCAGUACUUCCUGCAAAAGUCAAACAUGCAGAAACUUCUCUGAGAAACAGAAUGAUUUCAACUUCCAAUCAGCAGAUAUCCAAACACAUAGCAAAUUCCAAAAAAAUGUCUGCAAAGAUACUAGUACAUAAUUUUAGUAGUGUGCGCAACCAACAGGAUAGAAAAGAAGUUAACACAUGCAGGCAUAGAACGUAAACAUAAAAGAACAGGGAUGGGUAUCGUCUUUUACCCGUUUGAUACACAUCUUUCAAGAAACAAUGAUUCCUUCCCAGUAUUAGCUGCAAAUUUCAUUGCUGGAAGCUCUUUUGAGUACAUGUCGAGUACUUCCUGAAACAAUGGGCACAUACUAACAUACAUCGUAGAUGGAAGUGAAAAUUUGGUCAAAAUUAGAGUCAGCGUAGGGGCACAACAUUCUUCCGGUAUGAAUCCACAAAAAAUAGGUAAUCAUACAAAGAAUAGUGAACAGACUACAAAGAAGGCUAUAGAAUCAAAAAUCAACCACAAUAAUUUGAAAAGACCACCUACACCGACUUCCUUUGAAAUUUUGCAAAUUACGGAAAGCCAAAAUAUGAGUAGCAUCUUCAGAAAACAUGGCAAGAACUGAAGAUGACAAAGCACAGCUUUAGCAAAAUGUAAUUCACAGCCCCCAAAACCGACAAUUAUAAAUGAUGAAGUGCCUAAUAAUCAUGUGUAAAGUAGUAACUUUAGCAAGUAAAAGGCCAAAAUCUGUGGAUUAGUGAGUGGUAUGCCACAUCAAAAUGUUAUCUCCCAAGUCAGCAGUCAUAGCUUGAAUCAAAUCCAAGAUAAAAGUCUUUUUUACCACUUUACGAUUAUAACCGCCAAACCAUGCAUUUUUGCGGAAGAAAAAAGAAAAAGAAAAAUCACCCUUAAUUGUUUAUCCAAGCUCAGCUCUAAAAUUUCUCGUUUAUUUUAUUAGUGCCCCUCAAGAACUCACCACAUUUUCUGCACACUUUAGCAUUUCUAAUGUUAUAUUGUUCAAAAUUCAAAAUCUACUUCCAAUAGUAAGGACGUAAAAACAAAAAGUUAAAAAAACUUUUGCAAAGAGGCAACUUUUGCAUAUAGGUUAAUGAAACCAAAAAAAAAAAAUCUAGAAGAGUAAAUGAACAGCAUGAAAAUGUGAAUUGAAUGUGAGCGUUACCUGAAGCAAAGACUUGGUUUGGUCGCCUGAAUCUUUAGGGUUAACAAGCACGAAAUAGUACCCACCUAAUCAACAUUACUUAAAAUAAUCACUGGGCACAAAAACGAUUUUUUUCUAUUUUUCGUACAAAUUCAAAAUAAACAAAAAUUACCAGAAAAAAAAGGAAAUUGGAGUUUGAAUCCCUACCAUUUUUUUCAGAUCCAGAACCUGGAGUAUCGUCAAUCGUAUUUUCACAUUUCGCCGCCUCCAUCACUGCCAAGAACAGCACCCAAUCACUAUCGUCACAAUAAUAACAGUAACAAUAGCAAUAUAGCUACCAAAAGAGUAAAAAAUGAUAGUAACAGAUAUCAAAAUGAUGGCGACGAUACCUGAGACUUUAAUUUUGACAUUUUUCGAAAGAAUGAUUUGGAGGCUAUUUUGGUUCGAUUCAGAGGUAAAAUUCCUAGCUUCCACGACAACCUCGCAAUUUCCUGUGGGGAUUGAAGAGAAAAUUAGAACAAUUAGGGUUUCAGACUUAGAAAUUAAGUAAUAGAAAUGAUUCCAUUCUUUUAUUUACCGAUUGGAAUCGGAGCAGGGGAGAGACGAAAGGGCUUCCGUUUUGGCGCCAUGAUUUUCCAGCUUUGAAAAUGUGAUCCAAGGAGGGAGUGGGGAGAGGGUAUUUAUAGCUGGGCAAGAGCGGGCUAAGAAUGUAACUUUAGUUAAAAUCUGAGGCUUUUUUGGUCAAUUGGAUUGCUAGCAACAAAAAAUUGGCGCCUUCGUAUUAAGCACGCCUAUGUGUAAGUGGACGACUUAAGGGGGUGUUUGGCGAGUUGGAAUUAGCAAUAGGAAUUAUGCGUUUUCUGUUGUUGGAUUUUCUUUUUUCUUUAUUUUGGUUUAAAAAAAAAAAGAGAAAAGGAAGCAACUUCCGACUAGCAUAACAAACCCGUCCUAAGGAAAAGCAUAAGGUUUGGUAAGGGGGUAUGGGAUUCGGGGAAUGGAAUGAACCCCAUAAAUGGUGUUUGGUUCACUGGAAUGGGAUUUGAAAUCUUAGAAUGAUUUCUAAAAAUUUGGUGUUUCUCCAUUCCCAAGUAUUUUGGUGGGUUUUGUCCGAUUCCCAAGUUUGAUUCCAAGAAACAAAUCCAAUUACAUAUUAUAAUUAUACAAAGAUAUAAUUAAUAUUUAUAUUUAUUAUAUAUUAUAAUAUAUACAUAUAUAUAAUAUAUUAUAAUUAUAAUAUUAGUACAUUAUAUAAAUAUAUAUUAUAAUUAUUUAGUUAAAUAUAAUUAUAUUCAUAUAAUAUAUAUUAUAAAUUUAUUAAUAUUAUAUAAUAAUAUAUUUAUAAUAUAUAUGUAUAUUUAUAAAUGCAUAUUAUAUGUGCAUAUGAUUAUAAGACAAAUAUUAAUUAUAAUAAUAUUUUAUAUAAAUAUAAUAUAUAUUACAUAUUAAAUAUAGUUAUUAUUAUAUAUUAUUAUAUUUAAAAUAAUAAUUAUUAAUUAUAUAACUUAUUAAUAUUACAUACAUGUAUAUAUUAUAAUUAUAUGCACAUAUAAUAUACAUUUAUAAAUAUACAUAUAUAUUAUAAAUAUAAUAUUAUAUAAUAUUAAUAAAUUUAUAAUAUAUAUUAUAUAAGUAUAAUUAUAUUUAACUAAAUAAUUAUAAUAUAUAAUUAUAUAAUACAAUAACAUCAUUAUUAUAAGUUUGUAACUAAUUAAAUUAAAUAUUAUAUAUAUAAUUAAUUAUAAUUAUACAAACGCUAUAAAAUAAACACAUAAUUAUAAUUAUAUAAUAUAUAAAUAUUAAUUGUACUCAUAUUUUAUAUAAGUAUAAUGCAUAUUAAUAUUAGAUAUAGUAAUUAUGAUAUAUUAUUGUAUUUAAAAUAAUAAAUAUAAUUAUAAUUAUAAUUAUAUAAUUUAUUAAUAUUAUAUACAUGUGUAUAUUAUAAUCAUAUGCACAUAUAAUAUGCAUUUAUAAAUAUACAUAUAUAUUAUAAAUAUAUUAUUAUAUAAUAUUAAUAAAUUUAUAAUAUAUAUUAUAUGAAUAUAAUUAUAUUUAACUAAAUAAUUAUAAUAUAUAUUUAUAUAAUGUACUAAUAUUAUAAUUAUAAUAUAUUAUAUAUAUAUGUAUAUAUUAUAAUAUAUAAUAUAUAUAAUAUAUAUAAAUAUUAAUUAUAUCAUUGUAUAAUUAUAAUAUGUAAUUGGAUUUGUUUCUUGGAAUCAAACUUGGGAAUCAGACAAAACCCACCAAAAUACUUGGGAAUGGAGAAACACCAAAUUUUUAGAAAUCAUUCCAAGAUUUCAAUUCCCAUUCCAGUGAACCAAACACCAUUUAUGGGGUUCAUUCCAUUCCCCGAAUCCGAUACCCUCUUACCAAACGCCCCCUUACUAGAUAUAACGUGAACAUGCCUUGUUUGGUUUGCUUUGCUUCUCAAGUGAUACUGUAUAGGGUUCGAACUUGGGAAUCUUACUAUAUGUAAACGUGAACAGCUUACCAAUUUUACUCUCUUAGACAUUACACUCAUUUGUUUGCCAAUUUUGCUCUUUUCAACAUUCAUUUGCUCGCCAAUUUUGCUUUCGCAAACACUUGUUUGACUUUUGGCAAUAAGCAAUUUUACUCUUUGAAGCACCCAUUCAUUGACUUUCAAGGAAUACUUUAGCACUUGUAUUCCUUGGUUUGGACCAUUUUUGACGAUUUUGCUCUUUUAAAAUUUCACAAUUUCGACGACUUUGCUCUUUUAAAAUUUCAUGAAUUACAGACAAUUUUGCUCUUUUAAAAUUCCAUUAAUUUCUUAUUUGCUUCAACCCAAACCUUGCCAAUUUAACUCUUAUCAUUAGUACUUGUAAUUAAUUCUAGCAUAUACGUAUGGAGAGGAUCGAAUUAGAUGAUUAAAAUAAGAGGGAUUGUAAAUAAAAAAUUCGAUUAGAUUGGAUGGUUAAAAUAUGAAGAGGAUCGGAUUGAAGGGUCAAAAUGAGACGAAUUGUAAAUAAUGGAUGGUUAAAAUACGAAAAGGAUCGGAUUGGAUGGUCAAAAUGAAAGGAUUGGAUGAUCAAAAUGAAACGAAUUGUAAAUCAAAAGUUCAAGUUCCAAAAAAAAAUUCUCAUUAUACGAAGUUAAGUUCCAUCGGACAAACGUUGAACAAUAUAAAAUUUACCCUAGUAUGAUGCACCAUUUCUUAUUGUAUAGAAUAGACUAUCACAACCCUGGUAUGAUGCAUCAUUUCUCGUUGUUUAGAAAAGGUUAUCUCAUAACUGAACAAAGCUCCUGGAAGGUGAAAAAACGAAUUACAAUUCAGAAUUAAAGAGAGAGUUUUUACAUUGACACUACAAUAUGGUACAGAGCCUUAACAGGGUAAAAGAAAGUGCUGCAGAUACCUAAGAGCAUCAUCAAUACAAACAUAUCUCCAACUCAAAAUACUCAAAACUCCCACACUUAUCCUCUCAACCAUCCCUUUCCCACCACUUUGCCGCAGCCCCAACCUCAAAUCCGCCACCAACCCACUAGCAUCCCCGCUGGAGCAACACCCCGACUGCGGAAGCUCCUUCGAAAACCAUCCUUCUUGCCCCAGAACGAAGCUUCCUUUCCCUUUACAGUCCAUCAUCGUAAAAACACUCCUCAACCCGCCUAACACCACAUUCCAAGUAACCCUCAAGCUAUCCAAUGCUUCUAUUGCCACUGAUGGAUCACCGUGACCAUUCCCAAGAUCAGCAUCAAUAUCGAAAUGGAACAAGAAACUCUUGUCAACGACGAGUUGGUUACCAGGUUUUAUAGUUGUGCUGAGGCAGACGUUGCCGUUGAAAACGUCGAUGGCGAAAAUGAUGCUGUCGAGGGAAAGAUGGGGUUUGAGCGGUUUUUGCAGCCUGAGUUUCUCUGAUACGCAUCCUAAGUUGUAUAGACGGCGGUAAGGGACGGCGAGAUUGGCGGCACGGAGGUUGCAAAGGGACGGAUAAAGGGUGGAGCAAAUGGGCUUCCAAAGGUGGUCGGAGGACAUGCAAAUGGACCAUGACUUGCAUACACAGGAGGCUAUAAUUAGUGUUUUGGGGUCAAGAUGGUUGGCGACUAGGCUAAGAACACUCCAUGGAGGUGAGGAUUUGAGGGAUUUUUCAGACAUCGUGAUCGUGGUUAUGGAUAGUUUUUGUUUCCGUUGUUUUUUUUGGGUUCAAAGGAUCAGAAGCCGACAUAGGGAUCAAGUUUUGUUCUGUGAAAUGGAAGGAUUCACGAUUACAUGAUAUAUAUGACAUCCGAGGAGAAACCUAGUCAUCCUAUGUCGCAUGGUAACCAUGAAACACGUGUAACAUUGUUAUGUCCAGUUGACACGUGGCUUCUAGUUUCUUGUAAUUGAACUACUUGUUUAUUUCCUUCUCUUUUUCUGAGGCCAACUUCCUUUCUCUAGAGCAAACGAACAAGUUUCUUCUUGUUAAUAUAUAUAUUUCUUUAGGCUAAACUACCUAAAGAAUCCCUAAACUAUUAUAAAUAUUAACUUUUAGUUCCUUAUGUGUUUUAAAUUUGAAAUGAACUCCUCAACAAUGUUAAAAAGUGUUACAUUUUAAUUCUUUAGUUUGCCUUUAUAGCUAAUGGAUCUAAGAGAAAAUUUUGAUGGAGUCAAAAGGUAGAAAUAUGUUGAAGGAUCAAAUUUUGAUUUUUUUUUAAUUAUUGAGAGAUUAUUUUAAGACUUAAAUAAAUGAAGGGCAAAAAAUUGAUACUCUCUCCGUCCUAUUUAUUCAGUCAUGUUUGAGGAAUCCAACUUUUUAAAAAUAGUGAUUUAAUUGUGAUGUUUGUACAUCUCUUUCCAAUUUUACCUCCAUAAAUUCAAAAUUUAAAUUUGAAUGGUAAUAUAUACAUGAUUAGAAAGAAGGGUCAUAUUGAAAAAAGAGACUAAAAGGUGUUUUGACUUUUCUAACAUAACAAUUGUUUUGAAACAUCUCAAAAUGAAAAGUAUGACACUUUCAAUGAGAUGGAGGGAGUAAGUAGAAUAGUUUAGAGACUUCUUAAGUGGUUUACCCUAACUUUUAUGAUUUGUGUGAUUCAAAAAUGUUGGACACACCUAGAAAAAAAACAAGUUUACUCGGUGUGUUUGGAUAUGUAUUAUUUGAAAUAAUACAUAUGCUUAUAUCACAAAAAUGUUUUUUAAUUAUCUUUUUUAUCUCUUAAUCAUCUUUUUAUCAUGUACAUAUCACAUUAUAAAAACGGCUAUAAUAAUUAUUUUAAAUAAUAUUUCAAUUUUAGAAUAUUUUUUAGCAACCGAAGCUUUCCAAAGUGCAAGUGGCAACUGGUAUUAUUAAUAAAGUGAAAGUGACUGUUAGCCCAAGGGCUAAGACCCCAAGACUAAAGGGAACUUGGGAUUUGGUACUUGAGCUGGGGAGUGAUCAGAUGCUUUGCUAAACACUCUUGCAAGUUCACCAACUGAGCCAAUAUUCUUGCAUUUGUAGUCGCCACAAUGUGGAUGCUUUGAGCCAUGACACAUUGAGUCUAGACUACAAAGGAUUUGACGACCAAACUCCUGCCUGCAUUGCAGAGUCUUGAGGAAUUAACUCUUUGUUAGUUUAGAAACUGAUCAAAGUGGCCGCUUUUUCUCAUAUAAAGACCAUGAGAAAACACAAAACAGAGUUUCAAUUUGUCAUGGGAGAUGAGACUACGAGACAAAGAUUCGCCAAGCUGUCUCAAUAUUUGCCGCCUGCAAGUUCCCGUCGAGAAGACCAAGAAGGCCUUGUGAGUUGUGACCACUACUCUUUAGAGAGGCUUAUAGUAAUUAGUACUAUUUCGUUGCUAGGUCAAAGUUAUUAAUCCUUUAAGUAAAUGUGUUUUUUCAUUAUUAUCUUUUAAAUUCUAUUUCAUACAUGGAUGGAGAGUACGUAGGAUCUGAGCAUCCUAAUUAAUAAUCUAAUUUAGUCGGUAAGAAUAUUAGCCGAAUAACUGGACAUGAUUGGAUUUUUUUACUAUAUCUUGGUACAUGUAGUAUAACCAUCCCAUGCCGACACCCCCAAUAUGAUGGAAAAAUUAAAGAAACAUCUUAUAUUGAAGAAACAACCCAAUAUUUUAGCUUAUAGAACUUUGAAGAGUCCACAUAAAUCUCGAAUUUAAAAAUUUAUAAGAAACUAUAAGUAAAAUAGUAGCCAAUCUCAUCUCAAUGAAAUUUAUGUGACCCAAAAUUUUCAUAUUGUUCUAUUUUGAACUUUUUUAUAACCCAAAAAAAAAAUGCAAAACUAGAGUUAGUUAAAUAUAAAUGAUGUGAAAUUAGUUUUUUUUUUUUUUUGGCAUAUGCAUACAAAUCAUGCACGCUCAGAUGACUGGUAUUAGACAAUGAGCAGCUAGCCGUUAUAUGAUUACGAGAAAUACAUUAGCAGAGCACAAGGACAUAUAAUAUAAAUCUUUUGCUGUGAACAUGAGGGAUGAAAUUAAUUGAUAUCCGCGAAAAUGAGAAAGAUCGAUCAAAUUGGUCCAUAUACAAGUUACUGGGGACUACAAUCAUAAUUUUUUUUUUCUAUUGGUAAGGAAAAACAACACAUAACGCAUCUCUUAGAUUUAUCUUGGCAUAGUGGGCAUUUAUUAGGUCUUUUAGGACCAGUAAAGGUGGCCAGAGUUGUGGUGCCUUUUCUGACAUGUUUUACCGAGUUAUCUGUUUGACCCCACUCACUAACUCAGAUCAUAUAUGUAUAUGUUCAUGUAUGACUUUGAUUAUAUAUAUAUGUAUAUAUAUAUAUAUAUGUUCAUGUAUUACUUUGAUUUGUAAUCUACUCCACAAAGUUCUAUUCUACCUUGUAUAUAAGAAGAAAGUCAAGUAACUGUAGCAGCCUAUCUUUUUGACACAUGUAUUACGCAUAUUUUUGACAAGUGGAAACUUGAUUAUUUUAGCUAAAUUUUUCCUUCACUUUUUUGAUUCAAUUGGGCCAAAAGGAUUUAAAUAUUUUUUCUCCUUGAGAAAAUCAACUCCAUCUCUUCUUAUUCUUCUUCUCGCCAUAGCUGUAAUCAUCCCUCACUUUUUUUAUUUUUUUAUUUUUUAAAACUAAUCUAACUAAGAUUGUUGCCAUUUUUUUCGUCGAGAUGAUUAGCUACUUAACAAAGAGAAGUCUUUAUUAUUUUUUUUAUCCCAUUUUACAUUUUCUUUUCUUUCUUUUUUUCUGUAUCUCUAAUCUCUCAUGUUUGCUCUAUUCUUCGAUCAUAAUGUUAUAGCCAACUAGCAUUUGUUUGUUAAAUUUAUAGGCUGACGUUGUUAUUUGAUAUUUCUUCAUGGAUAAAAGGUGAAGUAUUAAAAUAUGUAAAAAAAUCUUAGAAUUCAUUUUAUACCAAUGAUCAUUUUCUAUGAAGAAUAAAACAAAAAUUCAUUCUUUUCUUUUCUCCUCCCAAGAUUUGAUUUCUUACUUCACAUUUUUUCCUUUUCUUUUUUUUGUUACAUUUUGUAAUUAUCUACAAUUUUGUGUAUUUUUUUAGGAGAAAAAAUAUAUCAUGUGAUGCUUCCACCAAGAUAAAUCUAACCAGAAUUUCGUCUACCUUUGUUUUUCUCUGUUUCUUUCUCCCCGUCCCCCCUUUGGAAUUACUUUAUGGUCUAUUCAAUUUAAUUGAAGGAUCCAAUAAGAUUUUGUGUAUAUAUUUAAACUAAUGUUAAUUUUUGUUUGUUUUUUAAUUACUCAAGUGUUGUAGUAUCAAUUGGGUUGGCAUACAAGGAUUUGUAGUUGGUGGUGGAAGUCACAGUCAAGACUUUCAGCCUAGAGUGUGACUUGACAAAAAAUUGUUAGAAAAUUCAAUUUUGAUUAGGAAUAUGUUUUUGCAAUAAAAAAAAAUGAUUUAGUUCUAAUUUGUAUAUGUAGAUCUGGAAACGUAGUAAUUCAUAUUUUUAUCUAACCUUGCUAUUUAUAUUACGGAGUUGUAGAAUAAUGUUGUCACCUUUAGGUGGGAUUUAAAUAGAUGAACUAACUUCUUCUAUCAAAAGAAUGAAAAUGUGAAAGUUUAUAAUAAGUUAUAUUGAUGUUGAAGAUUGUGUCAUAUCUUAGUGGCUUUCUAAACUUUUUCUCAUUAUUAAAGUACUGGAAGUAUUAUGACUACUUUUGGUUUAGUUACAACUAAAACUAUACUGCUAUUAAUACAGCAAUGCGCUUGUAGUGUAUUAAUUCUCUCUCCUUUUUGGGUAUCAUCAUAAUAGUGGUUUAAAAUUUUUUAUUUAAAUCACAAUAAAUAGGGGGUUGAUUUCAUAGAUAGAAUUUCUCUUCACAACAAAUUUUGAGGAAAAUUUUAUUUAUACUCCAUAUUUCGUUAAUUGUAAUCCUAUAAUAAAUAAAAACUAUAUGAUAAAAAUAAUAGUGAAAGUGUGAUUAAUAAAAAUGAGAGUUCAAAUAACAUUUGUCAAUUUUAAUUGUUUUGAUACUCAAUUUUCUCAUAUAUUUCUAUUCAUUCAUCAUGUGCCAAAAUAAUUUGAUGUUAUGUGUUAGACUAAAUUUCUAGGGGCCCAAGCUGUGCUUUGCACAGCUCAAGUACCUCUAGUGUUUUGCACAUGUUUGCCUUUCUCAUUUCUCUUGAAGUUGUGAUAAAAACAUGAUAGCUCAAGAUUCCUAGCCUUUUUGCAUAUAUGGUUGAAUAUAGACCUCCCAUUUUUUCAGCAAAAAUAUGCACUCCAGCACAAACCAGUGAAUUAAUUGGUGUAUUUUGAAUUGGAGACCCUAAUUCUAGUUUUAAUGUUUGGAUAUAACCAUAUAAUGCUGAAAGAAUUAGAAUUGAAUUAGUUGUUUGAAAUUAGUGCACAUAUUGAUUGUUUAGCAAAAUCUCCAUUUCGAAAUUGAACAAUUGAGAAGCUGAUAGCUAAUGAUAUGUUUCCGUGGUAAUUAUUCUUGUUUGGUUAUGCAUCAGAAUCCUUACAUGAGAAAUGCCCUUGUUGAAUUUCCGGUCUAGUAACGAGGAUCAACCUGAUCUAUUCUUUCUAUGGAUUUUACAUACCUAUUUUGUGAUCCUCCACAAAGUUAAGUGUGUUUGGAUAGUGAUAAUUUGGGAUUAGUUUUGAAAAAAAAAAUAUUAUAUCUCUUUUUCUUAUGUGACAUAUAUACGUGAGAUAAAAAGAUGAUUGAAAAAUAUGUUGAUGAUUUAAACAAGUAAAAUUGUGUCAGAAUAUAUGAUUUCAUCCUAGUUUCAGAUUCUACAGUUCAUUGCUGUCAUUUAAUUGGGCAAAAAAAAAAAAAAAACUCUAGCUUAGUUAUGAAAGCAAACGAGGUUCGAGGAUCAAUCAACUACGCCAACCACUCAGUACAAUACAUUAAUAACAAGAGAGGACACAUACCAUCAAACGGGUAAAUAUGGUAACAUGCAUCUGUCUGGUGGUGUCCACUGUCCACACAUGACACCAUAAACACAAGAUACUACUAAUAAAGAGAGACAACUCUCAAUGCGGCAUGGGCAUUGGGUAAGCCUAAGGGCUUGGCC
rnacentral:lncRNA from 1 species